rnacentral:rRNA from 1 species
GCAACGAGCGCAACCCUCGACCUUAGUUGCCAGCAUUCAGUUGGGCGACUCUAAGGUGACUGCCGGCUAAAAGUCGGAGGAAGGUGGGGAGUGACGUCAAAUCAUCAUGCCCCUUAUGACCUGGGCUACACACGUGCUACAAUGGGCGGUACAAAGGGUCGCGAACCCGCGAGGGGGAGCCAAUCCCAAAAAGCCGCUCUCAGUUCGGAUUGCAGGCUGCAACUCGCCUGCAUGAAGCCGGAAUCGCUAGUAAUCGCGGAUCAGCAUGCCGCGGUGAAUACGUUCCCGGGCCUU